rnacentral:rRNA from 1 species
UACGAAGGGGGCUAGCGUUGUUCGGAAUUACUGGGCGUAAAGAGCGUGUAGGCGGCCAAACAGGUCCGUUGUGAAAACUGGAGGCUCAACUUCCAGACGUCGACGGAAACCGUGUGGCUAGAGUCCGGAAGAGGAGAGUGGAAUUCCUGGUGUAGCGGUGAAAUGCGCAGAUAUCGGGAAGAACACCCGUGGCGAAGGCGGUUCUCUGGGACGGUACUGACGCUGAGACGCGAAAGCGUGGGGAGCGAACAGG